rnacentral:rRNA from 1 species
AAUCCAUAGGUUAAUGAGGCGAACCGGGGGAACUGAAACAUCUAAGUACCCCGAGGAAAAGAAAUCAACCGAGAUUCCCCCAGUAGCGGCGAGCGAACGGGGAGGAGCCCAGAGCCUGAAUCAGCAUGUGUGUUAGUGGAAGCGUCUGGAAAGGCGCGCGAUACAGGGUGACAGCCCCGUACACAAAAGCGCAUGUGCUGUGAGCUCGAUGAGUAGGGCGGGACACGUGGUAUCCUGUCUGAAUAUGGGGGGACCAUCCUCCAAGGCUAAAUACUCCUGACUGACCGAUAGUGAACCAGUACCGUGAGGGAAAGGCGAAAAGAACCCCGGCGAGGGGAGUGAAAAAGAACCUGAAACCGUGUACGUACAAGCAGUGGGAGCACCCUUUGGGGUGUGACUGCGUACCUUUUGUAUAAUGGGUCAGCGACUUAUAUUCUGUAGCAAGGUUAACCGUAUAGGGGAGCCGGAGGGAAACCGAGUCUUAAUUGGGCGUUAAGUUGCAGGGUAUAGACCCGAAACCCGGUGAUCUAGCCAUGGGCAGGUUGAAGGUUGGGUAACACUAACUGGAGGACCGAACCGACUAAUGUUGAAAAAUUAGCGGAUGACCUGUGGCUGGGGGUGAAAGGCCAAUCAAACCGGGAGAUAGCUGGUUCUCCCCGAAAGCUAUUUAGGUAGCGCCUCGUGAAUUCAUCUCCGGGGGUAGAGCACUGUUUCGGCUAGGGGGCCAUCCCGGCUUACCAACCCGAUGCAAACUGCGAAUACCGGAGAAUGUUAUCACGGGAGACACACGGCGGGUGCUAACGUCCGUCGUGAAGAGGGAAACAACCCAGACCGCCAGCUAAGGUCCCAAAGUCAUGGUUAAGUGGGAAACGAUGUGGGAAGGCCCAGACAGCCAGGAUGUUGGCUUAGAAGCAGCCAUCAUUUAAAGAAAGCGUAAUAGCUCACUGGUCGAGUCGGCCUGCGCGGAAGAUGUAACGGGGCUAAACCAUGCACCGAAGCUGCGGCAGCGACGCUUAUGCGUUGUUGGGUAGGGGAGCGUUCUGUAAGCCUGUGAAGGUGGCCUGUGAGGGUUGCUGGAGGUAUCAGAAGUGCGAAUGCUGACAUAAGUAACGAUAAAGCGGGUGAAAAGCCCGCUCGCCGGAAGACCAAGGGUUCCUGUCCAACGUUAAUCGGGGCAGGGUGAGUCGACCCCUAAGGCGAGGCCGAAAGGCGUAGUCGAUGGGAAACGGGUUAAUAUUCCCGUACUUGGUGUUACUGCGAAGGGGGGACGGAGAAGGCUAUGUUGGCCGGGCGACGGUUGUCCCGGUUUAAGCGUGUAGGUGUGUGUUCCAGGUAAAUCCGGUUCACUUUAACACUGAGGCGUGACGACGAGGCACUACGGUGCUGAAGCAACAAAUGCCCUGCUUCCAGGAAAAGCCUCUAAGCAUCAGGUAACAUCAAAUCGUACCCCAAACCGACACAGGUGGUCAGGUAGAGAAUACCAAGGCGCUUGAGAGAACUCGGGUGAAGGAACUAGGCAAAAUGGUGCCGUAACUUCGGGAGAAGGCACGCUGACACGUAGGUGAAGUGAUUUACUCAUGGAGCUGAAGUCAGUCGAAGAUACCAGCUGGCUGCAACUGUUUAUUAAAAACACAGCACUGUGCAAACACGAAAGUGGACGUAUACGGUGUGACGCCUGCCCGGUGCCGGAAGGUUAAUUGAUGGGGUCAGCGCAAGCGAAGCUCCUGAUCGAAGCCCCGGUAAACGGCGGCCGUAACUAUAACGGUCCUAAGGUAGCGAAAUUCCUUGUCGGGUAAGUUCCGACCUGCACGAAUGGCGUAAUGAUGGCCAGGCUGUCUCCACCCGAGACUCAGUGAAAUUGAACUCGCUGUGAAGAUGCAGUGUACCCGCGGCAAGACGGAAAGACCCCGUGAACCUUUACUAUAGCUUGACACUGAACAUUGAGCCUUGAUGUGUAGGAUAGGUGGGAGGCUUUGAAGUGUGGACGCCAGUCUGCAUGGAGCCGACCUUGAAAUACCACCCUUUAAUGUUUGAUGUUCUAACGUGGACCCGUUACCCGGGUUGCGGACAGUGUCUGGUGGGUAGUUUGACUGGGGCGGUCUCCUCCUAAAGAGUAACGGAGGAGCACGAAGGUUGGCUAAUCCUGGUCGGACAUCAGGAGGUUAGUGCAAUGGCAUAAGCCAGCUUGACUGCGAGCGUGACGGCGCGAGCAGGUGCGAAAGCAGGUCAUAGUGAUCCGGUGGUUCUGAAUGGAAGGGCCAUCGCUCAACGGAUAAAAGGUACUCCGGGGAUAACAGGCUGAUACCGCCCAAGAGUUCAUAUCGACGGCGGUGUUUGGCACCUCGAUGUCGGCUCAUCACAUCCUGGGGCUGAAGUAGGUCCCAAGGGUAUGGCUGUUCGCCAUUUAAAGUGGUACGCGAGCUGGGUUUAGAACGUCGUGAGACAGUUCGGUCCCUAUCUGCCGUGGGCGCUGGAGAACUGAGGGGGGCUGCUCCUAGUACGAGAGGACCGGAGUGGACGCAUCACUGGUGUUCGGGUUGUCAUGCCAAUGGCACUGCCCGGUAGCUAAAUGCGGAAGAGAUAAGUGCUGAAAGCAUCUAAGCACGAAACUUGCCCCGA